rnacentral:rRNA from 1 species
UGACAGUACUCCUACGGGGAGGCAGCAGUGGGGGAAUAUUGCACAAUGGGCGCAAGCCUGAUGCAGCCAUGCCGCGUGUGUGAAGAAGGCCUUCGGGUUGUAAAGCACUUUCAGUCGUGAGGAAGGUAGUGUAGUUAAUAGCUGCAUUAUUUGACGUUAGCGACAGAAGAAGCACCGGCUAACUCCGUGCCAGCAGCCGCGGUAAUACGGAGGGUGCGAGCGUUAAUCGGAAUUACUGGGCGUAAAGCGCAUGCAGGUGGUUUGUUAAGUCAGAUGUGAAAGCCCGGGGCUCAACCUCGGAAUAGCAUUUGAAACUAGGCAGACUAGAGUACUGUAGAGGGGGGUAGGAAUUUCAGGUGUAGCGGUGAAAUGCGUAGAGAUCUGAAGGAAUACCGGUGGCGAAGGCGGCCCCCUCGGACAGAUACUGACACUCAGAUGCGAAAGCGUGGGGAGCAAACAGGAUUAGAUACCCUGGUAG